CAGAAAGUAGUUUAGUUGAAAAUACCAGCUUUGGGAGUUGGAGGUGGGGGUUUAAUUCCCCCUUUUCUGA
rnacentral:tRNA from 1 species